GCAGGGGCAGACAGGCAGCAUCCUUGACAGCUCGCGUUCGCAUCCUAGGCUUUCACAGGUUCUCACGAGCACAGUGUUAGCACCCAGCACGGGGUCCUGUCCUCAAAGCAUAGGUUCAAAGCAUGCUCAUUUCGUGAAAGAAGAAACGCUUCCUGAGGCUGUGAAGACUGGGGAGGAGCACUCCGGUGCCAGUCAGAGGCACAUGAGAACCGAGGGGACCAGGGGCGGGACGAGGAAAAGAGGAGGAAGGCACGUAGAGAAAACCAAGGGGA